rnacentral:rRNA from 1 species
UUAAUCGGCGGCCUGUGAGUCACACGUGGGCAACCUACCUUAUAGCUUGCGAUAACUCCGGGAAACCGGGGCUAAUACCGAAUAAUCUGUUUCACCUCAUGGUGAAAUAUUGAAAGACGGUUUCGGCUGUCGCUAUAGGAUGGGCCCGCGGCGCAUUAACUAGUUGGUGAGGUAACGGCUCACCAAGGCGACGAUGCGUAGCCGACCUGAGAGGGUGAUCGGCCACACUGGGACUGAGACACGGCCCAGACUCCUACGGGAGGCAGCAGUAGGGAAUCUUCCACAAUGGGCGAAAGCCUGAUGGAGCAACGCCGCGUGAGUGAAGAAGGAUUUCGGUUCGUAAAACUCUGUUGUAAGGGAAGAACAAGUACAGUAGUAACUGGCUGUACCUUGACGGUACCUUAUUAGAAAGCCACGGCUAACUACGUGCCAGCAGCCGCGGUAAUACGUAGGUGGCAAGCGUUGUCCGGAAUUAUUGGGCGUAAAGCGCGCGCAGGGGGUUUUCUUUAU